rnacentral:rRNA from 1 species
AGAGUUUGAUCCUGGCUCAGGACGAACGCUGGCGGCGCGCUUAACACAUGCAAGUCGAGCGAGAAUCAGUCCUUCGGGACUGAGGACAGCGGCGAACGGGUGAGUAACACGUGGGUAAUCUGCCCUCGAUUCUGGGAUAGCCCGGGGAAACCCGGAUUAAUACCGGAUAGCCUCUCGAGCUUUCGAGCUCAUGAGAAAAGGUAGCUUCGGCCUCCGAUCGAGGAUGAGCCUGCGUAGGAUUAGCUAGUUGGUGGGGUAAAGGCCUACCAAGGCGACGAUCCUUAGCUGGUCUGAGAGGAUGACCAGCCGGAAUGGGACUGAGACACGGCCCAUACACCUACGGGUGGCAGCAACCGGGAAUCUUGCGCAAUGGACGAAAGUCUGACGCAGCGACGCCGCGUGGAGGAUUGAAGGCCUUCGGGUUGUAAACUCCUUUUACGAGGGAAGAUUAUGACGGUACCUCGUGAAUAAGCACCUGCUAACUACGUGCCAGAAGCCUCGGUAAGACGUAGGGUGCAAGCGUUGUCCGGAUUUACUGGGCGUAAAGAGCGUGUAGGCGGCCAAACAGGUCCGUUGUGAAAACUGGAGGCUUAACCUCCAGACGUCGACGGAAACCGUGUGGCUAGAGUCCGGAAGAGGAGAGUGGAAUUCCUGGUGUAGCGGUGAAAUGCGUAGA